GGGUCAGUAGGUUGGUCGUGCCACCGGUACGUACUGGUCUCACUGAUUCCUCCUUCCUGAAGAACCGUAACGCCAUUAAUUUGGUGUUGCGGGGAAACAGGACUGUUACUUUGAAAAAAUUAGAGUGUUUAAAGCAAGCUAACGCUUGAAUACAUUAGCAUGGAAUAAUGAAAUAGGACGAUCGAUCCUAUUUUGUUGGUUUCUGGGAUUGACGUA
rnacentral:rRNA from 1 species